UCUGCCUUUGCUAGUCUGCUGACCCUCGUCUGCAGGGACCUCCACAUGCAGAGGAUCACAGGGACCUCAUUCAGGGCUUGAGUGGAGGAUUUUUCUCGCUUUGGUUUUGCCAGAUACUGCUGACAUACAGAAACAGUUGUGCUGCCUCUUCUGCAGAUGUGGAAAAACGUGUCCAAAGUAUUCAGAGAUGAGAUCGUGUAUGUAGCAGCAGCUGCAGAAUGAACUCAGCUGUGCAGUCACAAAUAAAACUGACAAGUCAAGUAAAUGCGUUUUUAAUAUUCCACUUAAAAUGUAGCUUCACUGAAAGUCAUUACCACCAAUCUGUGUUGUAGUUGCAGGUCAGUUCUGGCGCUUUUCUUGGGCAUGUCUGUAUCAAGACAAUCUUAAAUGCAGAUGCCAAUCUCUCGUUUUCCCGCAUAUCUGAACAAAAACAAACGUUAAACUGAAAGGUUGGAUUUUGUUUAUUUUUUCUGCUCCACUUGGUUCAUCUUUAACAAGAAAACAAAAUGCAUCAAGACUGAUUUUGUUUCAACAUCUUGAUUUGAACAUGCCACUGCUUGAAUAUCACCCUUCAGCUGAGAUAAAGAAAUUAAAACUAAAAUUUGUCAGGGUGAAAAGUUUCCCCCUGACAGCACCUCAGUCUGACCACUAGGUGGAGGAAGAUGACAGAGUUAACAUUGUGGGUGUGGUUAAAUGUAAAGCCCAUAGAAGUAAACAGAGUGGAAUUCAGCAACUGGCCCUUAGAUUUACCAAAAAAAAAACAUGAACAAUGUUUUUGCUGAGGCCUUUUAUUUUGGUGCAUGUACUUCUUUAGGCAGCAGCGUGACAUGCAGCAGAAGUACUAAGUGCGUGGGUGAAGUGCUGAGCAUGAAGACCCACUGGCAUUUCGACUUUUGACCUUUGAAACACACCAAAACCAGUGAUUUCAUAUUUUAAAAGCCUCAUCUGCGGAAUAAAAGCAAAGAGAACUUGCUCUGUGAAAUAAAUGUGCAUAAUAUGUGGAGCAACUGAACUAACGUGGGUGUGCAUGUGUUGUUUUUUAAAUACUCUCAUGGAUUUUUAAAAUAACCUGAGUAAAUGAUCCACUUGUUAAAACAUCCCACUGUCAGUUUUGUUUUUCACUUUGUCUUUUCCACCAAUAUGACACUGCAUUUUAUGUGUGUGUGGGACACUUAACAGGAUCACAUCUGUGUCGUGUUUUGGAAGUAUAACGUGUGCCCUCUCUGUCCUGUCAUGUAACCACCUCACCUUUAACUCAUGAGGCACAUUUCAAAGAUUCCACGGAACUAUUAUAAGACAUCCCGGAUGUUCCAGCUCACGCUUAAAAAACACCACACGGCACAAUUCACAGGAGCCGAGUAUCAGGUUUACACGCUGCAAUACUUUGCGUCCUUUCCCCUCAGGAGCUGUUGGUUCUGGUGUAAAUACUGCUCACAGCUGGGGAGUUUUCACACUGCUGCAGCUGUGAACAAUGUUUAUCCCUUUCUGUAGAUUCUCCAACCAGCUGCUGCAGUUUGAACCCUGUGGAGUAAAGAAAGUGUGAAGGGGAAACUUCACCAUGCUGCUCAAGUGUGGCAACGCCUUCUGCAUUUUCUGCAGGGGAAUGAUAUAGAACAGGGGUAGCCAACACUGUGCCCGCGGGCGCCUGGUUGCCCGCAGAGACCAUGUGAGUUGCCCGCAACACAUGUUCUAAAAAUAACACUAGUCACCAUGAAAUUCCUUAUAAAAAAUUGUAGUUGCUGUUCUUUUUAUAUAAAAAAAUACUUACAUUAAUGCAGAUUUCAAAUUACAGUAUUUAUGAUAAUUUAAAAAAAAAAAAAAAAAAAAAAUGUCUUCGGUGUAAAUGAACUUUCACCUUGCCCGAGUCAAAGUUCACUGCGCAUGUCCAACCACCACGUCACUGCUGAAGCGUCCGGGCGCAGACACUUUGGGAAGCCAGAUGUGGUUUUUACCCCCAAAACAUGGCAGAAAAGCGAAAGAGAAAACACUAUUUUGACGACGACUGGGAGGAAGAGUUCUUUUUCACGACAGUGAAGGAUAAAAGUAUGUGUCCUAUUUGCGGGGCGACUAUUGCGUCGGCAAAGCGGCACAAUAUGGAGAGACUCUACUUUAGCCGCUACGAAGCUUCCAUGCUAACUAGCCACCUGGUAGCGCACAUGGACUGUAUGCACUAUGGACAGGAAAAGCCCUGGACUUAAAGGCAGCUUUGGCAUCUGCUACGCGACGAAAAGUUUCUUCGUGGAGAAAAAUGUACCAUUAAGAAAAGCUUGUUUAGUGAUGACUGACGGGGCUCCUCCAUGACGGGUCAGCAUGCAGGCUUCAUUGUACGAUGCAGAGGUGAUCCAGACUUCCCAACAUUCCUACAUUACCACUGCAGCAUUCACCAGCAGGACAUAUGUAUGUACAAAAGUGGCCGGAUUUGAUCAUGUGAUGACUCGUGUCGUGAAGAUCAUAAAUGGCUCCAAAGCCAAACAACCAGGACAUUGAAGGUGCUGCUGGAGGAGCUGUUAGCUGAACAUGGUGACCUGUUACUACACACAGAAACCCCAUGGAUCAGCAGGGGACCAGUUUUGCAGCGUUUUUUGUCACUGUUGGCCGAAAUCAAAGAGUUGAUGCAGUCCAAAGGAGAAGACACCUUGCUGCUUGAGGACACUGAGUGAAUUCUUGACCUUGCAUUUUUAACGGACAUCACUGGGAAACUGAAACAUCUGAACUGUGAGCUGCAAGGUAAAGGUAAGACAUGAUAAGCUCUGCAAUGCCAGGCUUCCCACUAACACACAUUUACAGACAAAGAAAGAGGUAACACAUGUUGUCAUUCAAAACACCAUGCCAUUACACAAAAAUGUGAAAAAUAAUUUGUUGAAAACAUGUAAUGAUUUGUUGUUAUGAUCUGUUAAAAAUGCUGCAAUGCUGGUGAAAAAUGCUGGUGAUUAGUACUAAUGUGAUAGGAUUAAUUUCAAAAUGAGAAAGAAUUGAUUAUUUUUUCUUACAUAACUGAUAAUUUGUACAAACAUGGGACAGAGUUCAUGAAUUGUUCAAAAAUGUUACAAAGGUAGUGGUUUACACAAAUGAAGCAUGAUUUGAUGACAGUUAAUGAUUUCCUAAAAAUGUUAGAAGUGCUAAUUUGCACAGAAAUGUAACUGGUGUGAUUUUGAACAAAAUGCUGCAAAUAGGCUGAUUCAUACAAAACUGCCAAGAAAGAUAUUUACCAAAGUUUCAGAGAUGGGUUACCUCUGACUUUUAAAUAUUGGAACAGAUUUCCAUAUAUGUGUGUGUGUGUGUGUGUUUCCUACCGUCAUUGUUGUGGAGAUCGUCGUGAAUAAUUAUUGUAAGGAAUAAUUAACAUAAAUGUGAUCAGACAGUCUUUUUACAUAUUAUUUUCAUCAUCAUUAUUAUUGUUGUUUAAAGAUGAUGGCACAAGUUGGCUAUUGAGGAAGUUUGUAUCAAACAAGGUGCCCUUCAUACAACUCAGUACCCUUGAAGUUGCUCUCAGGUUCAAAAAGGUUGGUGACCCCUGAUGUAGAAGUUUUAAAGCUUUCCUUUAAUAAACACAGGAGGAAAAAGUGUAUAAAGUAACUGCAGAAGAUUUCGGAUGAUCUGUAGUUGAGUUUUCAGUUUCUCCUUUACAUAUUAGCAGCUCUAGUAUUAUUUGUUGUACAGCUGUAAUGUUAAAACUCGAGCACAUUUAUCUAUGACUGGCAUUUGGUUUUGGGGUUUCCAAUAAAAUGUUUUGUGCUA